CUGGCGGCGUGCUUAACACAUGCAAGUCGAACGGAAAGGCCCUGCUUUUGUGGGGUGCUCGAGUGGCGAACGGGUGAGUAACACGUGAGUAACCUGCCCUUGACUUUGGGAUAACUUCAGGAAACUGGGGCUAAUACCGGAUAGGAGCUCCUGCUGCAUGGUGGGGGUUGGAAAGUUUCGGCGGUUGGGGAUGGACUCGCGGCUUAUCAGCUUGUUGGUGGGGUAGUGGCUUACCAAGGCUUUGACGGGUAGCCGGCCUGAGAGGGUGACCGGCCACAUUGGGACUGAGAUACGGCCCAGACUCCUACGGGAGGCAGCAGUGGGGAAUAUUGCACAAUGGGCGGAAGCCUGAUGCAGCAACGCCGCGUGCGGGAUGACGGCCUUCGGGUUGUAAACCGCUUUCGCCUGUGACGAAGCGUGAGUGACGGUAAUGGGUAAAGAAGCACCGGCUAACUACGUGCCAGCAGCCGCGGUGAUACGUAGGGUGCGAGCGUUGUCCGGAUUUAUUGGGCGUAAAGGGCUCGUAGGUGGUUGAUCGCGUCGGAAGUGUAAUCUUGGGGCUUAACCCUGAGCGUGCUUUCGAUACGGGUUGACUUGAGGAAGGUAGGGGAGAAUGGAAUUCCUGGUGGAGCGGUGGAAUGCGCAGAUAUCAGGAGGAACACCAGUGGCGAAGGCGGUUCUCUGGGCCUUUCCUGACGCUGAGGAGCGAAAGCGUGGGGAGCGAACAGGCUUAGAUACCCUGGUAGUCCACGCUGUAAACGGUGGGUACUAGGUGUGGGGUCCAUUCCACGGGUUCCGUGCCGUAGCUAACGCUUUAAGUACCCCGCCUGGGGAGUACGGCCGCAAGGCUAAAACUCAAAGGAAUUGACGGGGCCCCGCACAAGCGGCGGAGCAUGCGGAUUAAUUCGAUGCAACGCGUAGAACCUUACCUGGGUUUGACAUGGAUCGGGAGUGCUCAGAGAUGGGUGUGCCUCUUUUGGGGUCGGUUCACAGGUGGUGCAUGGCUGUCGUCAGCUCGUGUCGUGAGAUGUUGGGUUAAGUCCCGCAACGAGCGCAACCCUUGUUCACUGUUGCCAGCACGUUAUGGUGGGGACUCAGUGGAGACCGCCGGGGUCAACUCGGAGGAAGGUGGGGAUGACGUCAAGUCAUCAUGCCCCUUAUGUCCAGGGCUUCACGCAUGCUACAAUGGCUGGUACAGAGAGUGGCGAGCCUGUGAGGGUGAGCGAAUCUCGGAAAGCCGGUCUCAGUUCGGAUUGGGGUCUGCAACUCGACCUCAUGAAGUCGGAGUCGCUAGUAAUCGCAGAUCAGCAACGCUGCGGUGAAUACGUUCCCGGGGCUUGUACACACCGCCCGUCAAGUCAUGAAAGUUGGUAACACCCGAAGCCGGUGGCCUAACCGUUGUGGGGGAGCCGUCGAAGGUGGGACUGGUGAUUAG
rnacentral:rRNA from 1 species